AUUGAACGCUGGCGGAAUGCUUUACACAUGCAAGUCGAACGGCAGCACGGACUUCGGUCUGGUGGCGAGUGGCGAACGGGUGAGUAAUGUAUCGGAACGUGCCCAGUCGUGGGGGAUAACGUAGUGAAAAUUACGCUAAUACCGCAUACGAUCUAUGGAUGAAAGCGGGGGAUCGCAAGACCUCGCGCGAUUGGAGCGGCCGAUAUCAGAUUAGGUAGUUGGUGGGGUAAAGGCCCACCAAGCCAACGAUCUGUAGCUGGUCUGAGAGGACGACCAGCCACACGGGAACUGCGACACGGUCCAGACUCCUACGGGAGGCAGCAGUGGGGAAUUUUGGACAAUGGGCGCAAGCCUGUUCCAGCCAUGCCGCGUGCAGGAUGAAGGCCUUCGGGUUGUAAACUGCUUUUGUACGGAACGAAAAGACUCCUUCUAAUAAAGGGGGUCCAUGACGGUACCGUAAGAAUAAGCACCGGCUAACUACGUGCCAGCCGCCGCCGUAA
rnacentral:rRNA from 1 species